rnacentral:tRNA from 1 species
CCCGAGUGGAGGAAUGGUAGACGCAGGGGACACAAAAUCACCCGCCUCAAGGCUUCUCGGUUCGAGUCCGACCUCGGGCA